CUCUCUCUCUGUCCUCUCUCUCUUUGUGGCUCUGGGCCUUUGGCUGUGGGUUCUGGGCUCUGGUUCUGGGUUCUGUAUCAGUAUAUCAGUGUUUGAACUGAUAAUGUCCCAAGAUAAUAAGCGAUAAUAAUUUGAAUUUUUCAGUAAUUCCUUAAGUUUGGACGGCCCAACGGCAUGGAAUCUAAUCACAGUUGGUGAGUGUAACUGGGAUUUUCAACAUGAAAACAUUGUUUCAUGUCCGCGUCCGACAAAUAGAGAGUUUCCACAAGGAUACGACCCAUGAAAGAUACCAUAGUGAAGGAAACUCUAAAGUUCCCAAGGACGAACAGAGUGGGAAAAGUGUUUAGUGAACUAUCGGAAAGAUCUUCGAUCAAAGAACAAAUCCAUACCAUGGAUCAGUGGAAUACCAGUGUUCAUUUACAAGUUAUAUUCUUAUCCUCAUGGAAUAAGUUGCAACAUUACUUUGUGGUGGUGAUCUUUGGCUCCCACAUCGAUAAGAUAUCACUGGACUUUUGUAUAAAUUUUCCAACUGCCAAAAGCAUCGAACGGCUCAAGUAACACUUGAGAAGGCGAAAGCUAACUUUUGGAAGUUAAUUAAUGAUCCCCUGAUUAGAUUAGAAUAUGCUUAUUAAGUGCCAGGCGAUAGCAAAACGAACGAAUUCCCAGAAACGGCCCAAGGGAAAGUGGGCCCAAAUCAAGUGCACCUUCGACCUUAUCCGCAGUGGUGAUCUUUGGCUUAAAUGAAAUUGGUUUUUUGUGGCCAAAAAGGGGAAGAGCACCCCAUGGAGGUCUCUGCUUAGGAGAGAAGUAUAUAAGGAAAGACCUCUCCAGCGGAAGCCCAAAGGAUAGGCAUUGAUUGAGUGAAGAUUCUGUCAGUGAAAGACACUUUGGUAGACCUCAAUCUCUAAGGUUUUCCCUGUACCCUCCACCAUUCAAAAGCACAGGAAAAUUGUCAAGCGGUGACAAGUCUCUACCACUCCUGCCUGUACAUACAUUUUGAUUUGAGUUGAAGUCUGAUGAUGUCUUGUGGAUAUGUCUGCAUUGCGAUACUUCCAUGCCAUGUGUUGCGGGACCGACCCCCCCUUCGUGUCGUGGCCCAUGGCCCAUAGCUGUUUCUUCCUCAUUUUCAUUAUCUUAAGUACACAUUUUGAAGUACAAACGUCAGUUGGCGAUAAGGAACAGCAACGGGGACACGGGGAAGGUAGCAAACCCAAAGAAGACAUCAAAAAGCAGUCAAGUCAACAACAAACAGAAAAGAACAGAACCGUGAAGGAACCGCGCAAUGGAAUGGAAUGCUCUAAAUGCAAUCUGUUUGCACACAAUUCCACAGAGAAACCAAACUACCUUCUAUAUACAUACAUAUAUACCAAGAAUCAGAGGGAAUUUUUUCAGCAUUUUCACGCUAAAUAAAUCAGGCAAAUGUCAAACAUUUAAUUAGGUUCACCGCAGCAGCAGGGGGAAAACCAUACCCUAAAGAAAAAUGUAAGAAAAUCAUGUACUUUAAAUAUAUAGAAAGCGAACUUCAGGUUACAUAAAACCUCCUGUAGAGUUCUCGGUUCUCGGUGUUCUGUUUCUGUUUCUGCAUAUGGUAAAUACCAUUAUCAAAUCAUAUUAUCUUAUUUAUAAGCAUUAUCGUGCCACAGAUACAGAUUGCCUAUCUAUGGAAUGGGCAUGUAAAAAAAAUCAUAUAUACACAGAUAUCUUACUGGCGGCUUCGUUAUUUCGUUGGCUGGCUGUCUGCCAGUAAGUUUUGCACUUUCCAUUUAAACACGUUCCGAUCCGAUCCGUCGAGAGUAAUUAUGAAAAUAUAAUAUAAUAAUAAUGCAUUAUAAUGCCCCAAAAGUAUACGUGACAGAGGGAGAGAGAGAUCGUAAAGUGACAAAUCCGAAAAACAAAUGGUGCCACGGUUCUACGAGUAUUGUAAAAAAGAGCCAUAAAAAUGCCAUGUCGGGCAUGAAAUCAUCGCAUGUUAUGGCAUGGACUAUAAGUUGAAUCUCUGACAGUUUGUGGAGGAAACGAAAGGAGGAAACUGAGUGCUAAGUACCCCGCCCUCAAUGACAACGAUUUCCGCGGAUCUUGAUGGGGAAAACCACAUGCGUAGUCAGUGCAUGAAUAAUUCUCUCCAUUCAUUCCACGCUUGUUUUUCUCCAAGAAGCAAAAUGAUAAGAGCCAAGGAGCUGCUGCUUAACAAGCAUGAUUAAAUUUAUUUCUGGCUCUCCGACCAGUAUUUUUAGACACUUUAUUUGGAAGAAAUCAACGUUGAUAUAGGGCUUGGGGUAUAUUUCUUAUGUAAAAGAUGCCUCAGAAGUUAUUCAUAAUUGCUGGAUGGUUGGUAUGGUUGCAUGCCUGAUGCAUAGAUUCUCUUCUACACAAUAUUUAUAUGGUUUCUGUAAACAUAUAUCUUGUUCAUUCUCUGCCUAAAGCUCUUGUUAAAUAAUCGUACACGAUUCUUAUAUGAUUCUAGCCCAGUUUUGUUUCGCAAUUAACCAUCUUGUUUGCUAGCAGUAAAUAUCGUGGAAUUGGGUAAACAGCUUCAGACAAUGGAUUUCAUUUCAUGAUCUACAAACAAUGAUUCAUUAGAAGAGCUUACGAAACUUGAACAAAUGUGGAUAAAACUUUGACUUUGUAGAGCUCUAAGAAAUCACCGAAUGGGCUCUGCUUUCUGUGAUCCAUUUAGAUAUCUCUUUCUAGUUGUUAUUCCAAUCAUACUUUCAAUCAUUAUAAGUAAAAUAAACCCCUGGAUGACCUCCUUCUUCCCCCAACAACGGAUCUCGACUAAGAAACUUCUAUAUACAGACGGGCAGGGACUACUGGGAAUGAUUGGAAAUCAAAGCCCAAGACCAUAUCUUUCUAUAUCUUAUCACGCUUAUGCUUGUGUGUAUGAUGCGAUAUCAUGUAAGACAAGGCUAUAUGUAUAUACCACUGGCAUUAUCAUCCCAUUAUCUGGCCAAAAGCGUUGAUAGGAAAACCCUGACCCAGCCAGAACCCAAAAAAAAAACAAAAUAAAAGAACUUACAAUCUCUCUCUGGGUGAAAGUUUUGCAAAGCCGAAAAAUCUGUGCAAUGACCGAUUAGAGGGAUCCAAAAAGAGAAACAGCUAAAAACUAUUGAAUGAAAUUGGGUUUGGAAUACAUUUUGAGGGGCAUAGAAUGAGGAUUCCGCUGUAAUCAAUCAGAGUGGACGCGGAUCGUGGCGCAGCCCCAUUCGGUGGCACUUGAACGAGUGCACGAGCCGACAUACGGCACUUUGGUACAGUCACGUAGACAGGCGCAGAGCGUAUGCUCCCUCCCACCCCCACUAGCCUUCACCUCUCUACACGGGCAGCAACCAACCCUAGCAAUAAACAAAAAAACUGUUUUGCCAUAUGAAAUGACUUUCAGAUUUGUUGUUGUUGUCGUUUUGUAACGCGUGACUCCCAUAAAAAACAAAGUUUAUUAAAAAAAACAAGGAAAAAAUAGAACAAAAUAAAAGGGUGGAGGGGUUGCUGAUGAAAGGGGGGAUGGGUAACUCGCGAGAGAGUGACAGGGCCAGAGGGGCAGGGAGGGGGAGUGGACUUGGAGAGGGGACCUCAGCAAUGCGACGUUAUCUUAUCGCUGAAAAUGUCGCUUUCGUAAAUGGCGGCGCACAAUAUAAAAUAAUACACACACACACACAGACAUACAGACACAUGUACAUCCCCCUGAAAACACACACAUUCUACUAUAUAACAUACAUACAUAUAUACACAUAUAGAGACACCCUCCCUCCUACCAUUGCCAACGUUCCCGCCUGUGGCACCAAAGUUGUUGCUACGGGAUAUGGGAUUAGAUGGUACCUGCUUACACUUUUAUAGAUCACCGUCCACAUGAAAACUGUCAAUAAAAUGGAUUAUAAUUUGAUGAAAUCAUACCAAAGUCUAUGCUUCAAUUUAAAACGGGAAUAAUAGAUCAAAUUUUAUGCGCAAGUAUGACAAAGCCAGCCCGGCUGGCCCUUCAUGGCGCGGCGGUGGCUGAGCGCCAGAGCCGAAGAUCCUGGGAUGAUCCCAGCUCUAAAUAUAGAUUACAAAUUAUUUCUGAAAGGAUAUUUCAUGAUAUAUUUUGCCGGAUAAGCGGCCCGAGGCUUAAACCUUCACUUUUCCGUGUCCUCCGCCGCUCUGGUGACGGCCUUACCGGAUCGAUACUGCAUCCACGAUCGCGUGCAUCGCGCCAGCAUUUGGACCCUCUCUGGCCACAAACUGCUAUACCGCGAUCCCUUCCUCUUACUCCGUCAGCUAUUAUUUAUUAAUUUACUUUAUGUAGCUCCUUUCAUUUUAGCAGGUCGCCCCAUCCGGUGGCCAGGAACACUUCUUGCGUGCCCGCGGACACCAAUAUACCUAGGGGCUUCACACUUCUGGUCGCGGUCGGAAAAAAGAUAAAAAUGUUUUCCACUUGUUAUUUAUUUACACUAAGCUACGUUUUGAUGAAUAAAACUAUUGAAAAAUCA